rnacentral:rRNA from 1 species
UGAGGAACAUGACCUUCGGCGGGGAUAGCCGGCCCAACGGCCGGGUAAUACCGCGUACGACCUUUCGGGGACAUCCCCGGAUGGUGAAAGCAGCAAUGCGCCGAUGGAGUGCCUCGCGGCCUAUCAGCUAGUUGGUGAGGUAACGGCUCACCAAGGCAGCGACGGGUAGCUGGUCUGAGAGGAUGGCCAGCCACAUUGGGACUGAGACACGGCCCAGACUCCGUACGGGAGCAG